rnacentral:rRNA from 1 species
UACGGGGGGGGUAAGCGUUGUUCGGAAUUACUGGGCGUAAAGGGCUCGUAGGCGGCCAACUAAGUCAGACGUGAAAUCCCUCAGCUUAACUGGGGAACUGCGUCUGAUACUGGAUGGCUUGGAUCCGGGAGAGGGAUGCGGAAUUCCAGGUGUAGCGGUGAAAUGCGUAGAUAUCUGGAGGAACACCGGUGGCGAAGGCGGUUCUCUGGGCCUUACCUGACGCUGAGGAGCGAAAGCGUGGGGAGCGAACAGG